rnacentral:rRNA from 1 species
CAUGGUUGUCGUCAGCUCGUGUCGUGAGAUGUUGGGUUAAGUCCCGCAACGAGCGCAACCCCUACGUUUAGUUGCUAACGCGUGAAGGCGAGCACUCUAGACGAACUGCCGUUGACAAAACGGAGGAAGGUGGGGAUGACGUCAAAUCAUCAUGCCCCUUAUGACCUGGGCUACACACGUGCUACAAUGGGCGGUACAAAGGGUCGCGAACCCGCGAGGGGGAGCCAAUCCCAAAAAGCCGCUCUCAGUUCGGAUUGCAGGCUGCAAUUCGCCUGCAUGAAGUCGGAAUCGCUAGUAAUCGCAGGUCAGCAUACUGCGGUGAAUACGUUCCCGGGCCUU